rnacentral:tRNA from 1 species
GAGGGUAUAGCUCAGUGGUAGAGUGGGUGCUUAGCUUGCACCAGGUCCUGAGUUUAAUUCCCAGCACCUUCA